GAGAAGUGGGGGUGCUAUACAUGCAAGUCGUGCGGACCUUUUAAAAGCUUGCUUUUAAAAGGUUAGCGGCGGACGGGUGAGUAACACGUGGGCAACCUGCCUGUAAGAUCGGGAUAACGCCGGGAAACCGGGGCUAAUACCGGAUAGUUUUUUCCUCCGCAUGGAGGAAAAAGGAAAGACGGCUUCUGCUGUCACUUACAGAUGGGCCCGCGGCGCAUUAGCUAGUUGGUGGGGUAACGGCUCACCAAGGCAACGAUGCGUAGCCGACCUGAGAGGGUGAUCGGCCACAUUGGGACUGAGACACGGCCCAAACUCCUACGGGAGGCAGCAGUAGGGAAUCUUCCGCAAUGGACGAAAGUCUGACGGAGCAACGCCGCGUGAGUGAAGAAGGCCUUCGGGUCGUAAAACUCUGUUGCCGGGGAAGAACAAGUGCCGUUCGAACAGGGCGGCGCCUUGACGGUACCCGGCCAGAAAGCCACGGCUAACUACGUGCCAGCAGCCGCGGUAAUACGUAGGUGGCAAGCGUUGUCCGGAAUUAUUGGGCGUAAAGCGCGCGCAGGCGGCUUCUUAAGUCUGAUGUGAAAUCUUGCGGCUCAACCGCAAGCGGUCAUUGGAAACUGGGAGGCUUGAGUGCAGAAGAGGAGAGUGGAAUUCCACGUGUAGCGGUGAAAUGCGUAGAGAUGUGGAGGAACACCAGUGGCGAAGGCGGCUCUCUGGUCUGUAACUGACGCUGAGGCGCGAAAGCGUGGGGAGCAAACAGGAUUAGAUACCCUGGUAGUCCACGCCGUAAACGAUGAGUGCUAAGUGUUAGAGGGUUUCCGCCCUUUAGUGCUGCAGCUAACGCAUUAAGCACUCCGCCUGGGGAGUACGGGCCGCAAGGCUGAAACUCAAAGGAAUUGACGGGGGCCCGCACAAGCGGUGGAGCAUGUGGGUUUAAUUCGAAGCAACGCGAAGAACCUUACCAGGUCUUGACAUCCUCUGAUCCUCCCUGGAGACAGGGCCUUCUCCUUUCGGGGGACAGAGUGACAGGUGGUGCAUGGUGUCGUCAGCUCGUGUCGUGAGAUGUUGGGGUAAGUCCGCACGAGCGCACCCUUGACUUAGUGCAGCAUCAGUGGCACUCUAGGUGACUGCCGUGACACGGAGAGGUGGGAUGACGUCAAUCAUCAUGCCUAUGACUGGGCCUACCACCACGUGCCUACACAUG
rnacentral:rRNA from 1 species